rnacentral:rRNA from 1 species
AGAGUUUGAUCCUGGCUCAGAACGAACGCUGGCGGCGUGGAUGAGGCAUGCAAGUCGAACGAACUUUGACGAGUAGCAAUAUUUGUCAAAGAGAGUGGCGUAAGGGUGAGUAAUACGUAGGUAAUCUGCCUCCUAGAUGGGCACAACCUGGCGAAAGCCGGGCUAAUUCCCAAUGUGGCAGCUCCGGGCAUCCGGAGCAAUCUGAAGUCGGGGACCGCAAGGCCUGACGCUAGGAGAUGAGCCUGCGACCUAUCAGCUUGUUGGUGAGGUAAUGGCUCACCAAGGCUUACGGGUAGCUGGUCUGAGAGGACGAUCAGCCACACUGGGACUGAGACACUGCCCAGACUCCUACGGGAGGCUGCAGUCGAGAAUCUUUCGCAAUGGGGGAAACCCUGACGAAGCGACGCCGCGUGCAGGAUGAAAGCCUUCGGGUUGUAAACUGCUGUCUUUCGGGAGCAAGGAACACGGGUUAAUAAUCCGUGAACUUGAUAGUACCGGAGGAGGAAGCCACGGCUAACUCUGUGCCAGCAGCCGCGGUAAUACAGAGGUGGCAAGCGUUGUUCGGAUUUACUGGGCGUAAAGGGUGCGUAGGCGGUUCUGUGUGUCGGGUGUGAAAUCCCACGGAUUAUCUGUGGAACGGCAUUCGAAACUACAGGGCUAGAGUGCGGGAGAGGAAGGUGGAAUUCUCGGUGUAGCGGUGAAAUGCGUUGAUAUCGAGAGGAACGCCGGUGGUGAAGACGACCUUCUGGAACGCAACUGACGCUGAGGCACGAAAGCUAGGGGAGCAAACAGGAUUAGAUACCCUGGUAGUCCUAGCCGUAAACGGUGUGCACUUGAUGUAGGAGGAAUUAUCCCCUUCUGUGUCGAAGCUAACGCGAUAAGCGCACCGCCUGGGGAGUACGGUCGCAAGAUUAAAACUCAAAGGAAUUGACGGGGGCCCGCACAAGCGGUGGAGCAUGUGGCUUAAUUCGAUGCAACGCGAAGAACCUUACCUGGACUUGACAUGUAACUGCACGCUGGGCGAAAGCCCGGAAGCCUUCGAGGGUGUUACACAGGUGCUGCAUGGCUGUCGUCAGCUCGUGCCGUGAGGUGUUAGGUUAAGUCCUGCAACGAGCGCAACCCCCUGUGACUAGUUGCCGGUGCGCAAGCACGGAACUCUAGUCAGACUGCCUGUGAUAAGCAGGAGGAAGGUGGGGAUGACGUCAAGUCAGUAUGGUCCUUAUGUCCAGGGCUGCACACGUGCUACAAUGGUCGGUACAGAGGGAUGCGAGCUCGCGAGAGCAAGCUAAUCCCCGAAAACCGACCUCAGUUCAGAUUGGAGUCUGCAACUCGACUCCAUGAAGCUGGAAUCGCUAGUAAUGGCGCAUCAGCUACGGCGCCGUGAAUACGUUCCCGGGCCUUGUACACACCGCCCGUCACAUCAUGAAAGCCGAUUGCACCCGAAGUGGCCUCACGGUCCCUAAGGUGUGGUUGGUGAUUGGGAUGAAGUCGUAACAAGGUAGCCGUAC